UACUGUAAAAUAAAAAUUUAUAAAUACAUUCGGAUUUAAGCUUAAAACUGGAGAACUUUAAAUAACAUUAUUUACUUAAGAUAAGCCUAGUUAGUUUAAAAUUAACAGUACUUUUUAUCAACAACUUGGCUGGUAAAUAAAUGUCUGGGGAAGAUUAUUGCUGGUCUCCACCAGCCAAAUGUGCUCCUCGCGUUGCCUCCUUGUGCCAUUUUCUCGACGAACCCGCCAAAUUAGAAACAACAAUACCACGAUUAGCAAGCAGAAUAUUACUAUAACCAAGCUAAAAAUAUACGCUUGGGGUGCUUAAAUAGGGGAACUUCCUAGCCCACAAUGAGUUUUGGCAGACGUUCUGGGUCUCGCCUUUGAGCCUGUGCUCCGCCGGGCAGUCGUAGUAGAUACGGGUGCCAUUGGCUACUCUAGAUCCUGCAGUGAGG